CAGCGCAUGUGUCGAAGCCUCGGGUAUCAGAGGACCGUCACUACUGGUAGCAUCUCUGGCUGCUGUUGACCUUGUUUUCGGAGUAAAACACGGUGGAAGCUGAAUUAGUGAGGAUGACUCCUGCUCCUGUCAUCUCUAAGCUCCUCACACAUCUUUACCUGCACAUGAGGAAAAUCACUCCUGUAGAAUGCAGAUGUUCAGAGGGAGAUGAUGCCACAUCUGGUCCAGCUGAUGGAAGGUCUUGAAGUUGUCUGACUGGCCUCAACUGAAGAUGGUCGUCUCACUGGAUUUAAGGUUCAGAUGCUCAGUAACAAACUCCACCAAUGAGCCAACAGGGAAGCUUUAGGUUUAUUAAAUGUUGCUAUGAAGGUUUCGCUGUUUUUCUUUGUGAAUGCAAUGUGCUCCAACUGAAACUUGAAUUAGAACUUAGAAGUAAAUCCUUCCAUCUGAAAGGAUCUAGUUGCAUUAAUAACCUCAUAGCAUUCAAAUUUUUAUUUCAGUCUUGGCUGGAAAUAGAAUCUCUGUAUUGAUUCAGGUAAAAACUGAACUUCACAGCAUGUUGAAGCAAAACAACCAGAUGAAAACUGUGAUGGUGUUGGAUUGUCAGACCGUAAUGUUGCAGCUCAAAGCAGCUUUUCAAGCUCAGUUCAUUCUGACAUUCAGCUAUGAAUCAACACAGCAAAUGGUGAUCCAUGCUGUGGAAGUCUCACAUCUCCUCAUUUAAUGGAGCUGCUUUGCACUUUUUACACUGUUUAUUCACCAACACUUUAUUUAAUAAAAGUCUCAUCUAGUUUUUAUGAGGAAUGUGAUGUUUUAAUUUCUCUGUGAAUAACUGCAGUCUAAUGCAACAGCUGGAGUUGUAACAUCUGUCCUGAUAUUGAUCAUGAAAUUUUUAUCAGAAUACUUAUGGUCAGCAGUCAUCCCUGAAGUUUUACAUUAAAAUCUUUACUUGUGUUGUGAACUUUGGUAAGAAGCAGAAACUUUUGCGUUGCCAUGGAUACAUGAGUGUUAAAUUCUGUCCAUGAUUCCAUUUUGGGAAAUGCAGUCCAGUUCCAGAAUGUGGAGGAAUUUAGUCUCACAAUCACAGACAACAAAUAUUAUCUGAAAGUCGGGUUAUUGUUGUUUACCAGCACAAUACAAAAAGAUUAAUGUUAGAAAUAUUCCAGUUAAGAAUAUCAUGAUUUAUGUAAAUUUACCUCAAUAAUAUGAAUGUUCAGGUUAAGAUUGUACAGUGAUAUUUAUUAUGCAAGUUUAGCUGAUUAAAGUUUAUGACUCUGCACUAAAAUAUUAUUUAAAUUGACAUCAUUAUUAUAAUAUUUAGGGUCAGACCCUACAGUAUUGAGAUUAAGAAAUCAAAUAUUCUGUAAAAUGUAAAUACACUGAACUCAUUUGGAUAUAUUUAAGUGAGACUCUACAAUAUUAUGUGACACAAAUCUAUCUAAAUCAAAAUUUUAAUAAUUUUCACACCAAACAUUUACUGGACUGAUUUAAACAUUAAAAUCACUCCUUUCUAAUCCUCUGCUGUACGUUCAAACCUGAGGCCUGAAAUAGAAACACACAAGUAUCUGAUUGAAGGAACUUCUGCAGAGUCCUGGUUCCAGAACAUGAUAGAAUUAUAGACAAACUUUAACAAAAGCUGCCUGAGAGUUUACAGGUUUUUAUGUUGGAUUUCUUCAGUAAUUUAAUGAGCGUUAUCAGCAAUAAUCAAGUGUUCAUUUGAAGAACUUAAUUUCCUAAAACAUACAGAAUUGAAGCUCAUAUCUUUGGCAGCUGUAAAGUUUCUGCUCCUUCAAAGAUCACAACACAAUGAAUGAAUUCCUAAAACACUCUCAAUGCUGGAGAGCGUUUGUGAUGCUGAAGCAGUGACCAGUUUUUCUGUUUCUUCUCUGGAGAUGCACAAUGAGGGACGUCUGCAGAGACUGAGAAAGAGUCUCACCACAUCCUGACAUGAGGAAAAAGACUUUAUUGAAGACUACAAUGAGAAAAACUAUCAGACAGCAGACGGCUGCAUUCAAGGUGAGCUCUGAACAUUUGAUCUGGAACAGGAAUUCAAUAACGGCAGCAUGAGCUUCAUUUCAGUCUGUAGCUGCUGAAUUCAUGAAUGAAUCAUCUGGCACUAGAGAAGAAGAUCAUCAAACAUCCAUGUCAGCUGAUGGACGUCCAAGAGUCUCACCCAACAAACAACCUACAGAGUGAAGACCUCAAAUCUGAUUGGACGGCCUCCUAUUCAGCCACAUUUUAGGCUGUUAGAUUGUUCCAGAUAAGACAAGUACAAGAUUCUUCAGAGCCGUUCUACCACGAGCCUGACAGGAAGAACUCCAACAGCUACUGAAUGUUCCUGUGGUCCCCUCAAGGCUACAGGAGGAGCCCUACGAGGACGAGCCGGUCCACCUGAUGGUGGCCAGUCACUGCGGUUCAAAGCCAACACCGACUACGUGGACUUCUACUGGACCACACGGAGGCCUUCAAACCGGACCAACAAGUUCAGCGACUCCCCGACUCGUGGGUCUGAGGACGCCGCCGAGCCUCAGUCCAGCCGGCCUCCUGUCUGUGGGUGUUUGAGUGCUGAUAGGUUUGUGGAUGCAUGUGAACGUUCUGUGUUGAACAGCAGCUUUGGACUCACUAACGCCAGGAAAAACCAAGAGCUCCUUUAUUUGUGACUUCCACUAAAAAAACUGAUGAAAACAAGCUUGCCAGGGUUCUGACUGAUAACAGAUUAUUAAAUAAUGAAAAUAAUCGUUUAAAUAUUCCUUUAAACAAUCCUUUUAGGUCUACAUUUCCUUUACAUUGACUUCUUGGUAUUUUGGGUGGAAUAUACCAUUAAGCCCAAUGUUCAAGGUCUACAGUUGUGAAUUUUAGGUGGAAUAUACCAUUAAACUCACCCUUUAGGUCUACAUUGGGGGAUUUUAGGUGGAAUUUUCUUCCAAACCGUCUUUUAGUCUACAUUUAAGGAUGUUUAGGAUGGUAUAUUCUCCCAAACCAACUUCUCAGGUCUACAUUUCAGGUGGAAUAUUCCACCAUACUAACUUUUUGGUCUUCAUUGAAGUAUUUUUUCUAAACCACCCUUUGGGGUCUAUAUUUGAGGUUUUAGGUGGAAUAUUCCUUUUAACCAGCCCCUCAGGUCUCUUUGAGGAUUUUGGAUGGAAUACUCGGUUAAACCAACAUUUUAGGUGCCUCUCCGAGGAGUUUUGGUGGAAUGUUCCUUUAAGGUGGAUGUUUGAGGACCUUGUAGGUGGAAUACUUCCUGAAACCAACCUUUUAGGUCAACAUUCAAAGAUUCCUUUAAACCAACCUAAAACUCGGUUAUUAAAUGUCAAAACAAUCCAUGUGUUUUUAAAAACUCAACAGCUGUACAAACUCUAAGAUUAAACUCUCCAUGUUUUUUGAGCAACACACCAUACUAUGACGUUUUUACAGUGAUGGUUCUACUAUGGAACCAGUUUGACAUGUUCAGGUGUUCUUUGUGUGAAAACUCAGAGAGUUCAGGUAUCAGAAGGUGGUUUUCAACUUUCUUUGUUAACUUUCUGCCUCAACUUUAAACUAAAUUUCCUUCACUAACCCAGCCCUCUGGACUUCCAGUAAGCUGUGUUCCUAUUGGCUGUCCAGGUGGCUGCUCAGGUGUUAUCAGGAACACCUGAGCAGCUCAGUGUCUUCCUGCUUUAUUUGGCUGCAAACAUUUCCUCUACUUGUCUUCACCACUGAACUGGGUUUGGCUCCGUUGCUUUAGGGUGUUCUGUAGGCGUUGGCUUGCAGCUUCCAGCAGUAAAAUCGUCUUUAAUGUGUUUCUUGGUGUGUUUUAGGGCUUUGUACUGGAUAGUUGUCUUGGUAAAGGUGGUUCUUUAGCCACAGUUAGCACAUGGUGCUAAUGUGUGCAGUGAUUAGUGGAUUUGGUACAGCUGAGUUGUAUCUUUAUCUUGGCUGUAGUGAGUCUGUAGAGGUUUUUGGUCAGACACAUUCUGUAUUCUUGUUUGAGAACCAACGUUGGUUGUCCAGAAGGUAAGAGUUCCUGUCCUGAUUCUCUGUUCUCAGAGGUUCUCUGGUAGGCUGCAGGAGACUUUAGCGUUUGGGUUGUGCUAGUUUGGUUUUUGUACGGUUUCAUUUGGACAACUAUCUUGAGGCCCCACCAUGUGGUUUAGUGAGGUUUUCUGGAACAGUUCUACAAAGCAACCUGCAGCAGAAGAGACUUUGAGAGUUUUUAGGAAGUUCUGGGGAGCAGACUUUAGGGGAGCAGAAACAUUUGUCAGCAGUUUGAGCAGGAGAAGGUGAGCUUCAGAGUAGAAAUGAGAUGGAAACCUUCUUGACCCGUGUGGUGAGGUCCUGUAUGAAGAGUUUGAGCAGGUUGUGAAGAGUCUGUAGUUCUUUGGUCUGAAAGCACAAGAAGAGUCGACUCAUUAAAGGAGAAAACAGGAGAUAUUGUUGGUUCUUCUGUCGCUCUGCAGUUUCCUUAGACUGAAUAUCAAGUUUAUAUUUUAAAUGAUUUGCCAUGUGAGCCCAAGCAGACUUCAAUAAACUCCCUCCAUCCCCUGGACACAACAUAUUUUAUUACCAUGUUAAAUCUUUUUUUUUUUUUAAUGUUUUUGAGUUUUAAUCAUAGUUUUAGCAUAGUUUUUUUUCUCUUUGCUUGUUUAGUUUUGUCAUCUGUGUGGAAGGUGCUAAACAAAUAAAGUUGAAUUGAUAAACU